AGGACGAACGCUGGCGGCGUGCUUAACACAUGCAAGUCGAGCGGAAAGGCCCUUCGGGGUACUCGAGCGGCGAACGGGUGAGUAACACGUGAGUAACCUGCCCUUGGCUCUGGGAUAGCUCCGGGAAACCGGAAUUAAAUACCGGAUAUGACCUCGGCCGACAUCGGCCGUGGUGGAAAGUUUUUCGGCUAGGGAUGGACUCGCGGCCUAUCAGCUAGUUGGUGGGUAAUGGCCUACCAAGGCGACGACGGGUAG
rnacentral:rRNA from 1 species